CCUGCGGGCCGGGGAAAGACCGGGCAGAAUGGGGGAGGAGAGAGAGAGAGACGGUGAGGACACCCCGAAUCAGAGAGAUGCGGAAAAACAGCAAGACAGCGUGUGUGUGUGGGGGGAAGGGGGAAGAUACCAGGAGUCAUGGGCGAGAGAGAAGGGGGGGGACAGGCACUCAGAGAGGGAGAGUGACCCAGGAAGAAAGGACAGAGAUCGAGAGAGAGAAACAGACUCAGAGAGGAGACGACAGAGAUGGAGAAAGAGAGAGGGGGAGAGGACACCCCGAAUCAGAGAUAUGCGGAAAGACAGCGGGGGAACAGAUACCGGGAGAGGGAGAAGGGAAGGGACAGGAAGAGGGAGACAGAGAGAACAUCCAGAGAGAGGCGACAGGCACUCAGAGAGGGAGAGUGACCCAGGAAGAAAGGGCAGAGAUCGAGAGAGAGAGAGAGAAACAGGCUCAGAAAGAGGGGACGACAGAGAUGGAGAGAAAGACAGAGAGAGCCAGAGACCCGGGAAAGGACAUUGACAGAGGGGGACGGAAGUUUAGAUGGAGGGAGGUACACAGAGCAGGAGGAGGAUUGGGCAGGUAAGAGAAAAAUGACAGCUCUGUGAUUCCUCUGUAAUCUUCCCCACUCCCCCUCCCGAGAGCCGUACCCCCCUCUUCCCCGCCCCCACACUCCGUAAGGGGCGGGAAGGGGCUCUAUUCCUGGGGCACAUUCCUCAUCCCCAGGCUCCAUGUGACCCUAGGAGGCCCCGCCCAAGCCCGUGUCACCACAGUGAAAUUCGGGUGAUGGUGUCACGGUUAAGAAGGCGGCUGAGGAACGGGUUUGAGCUGCCAGCCACCUGUGUGUGGGGAAGAGUAUGGACAGUCAGGGACCCGAUGCCCUGGGUAGAGCACUGAACUGCAAAGCAUGAGGUCCUGACUUUUAUCCCUGGCAUCACAUGUUCCAGAGUGACUGUGGUUCUCUCGGCCUCUUUCUCAUAGACAAAUAAAUGUUUAAAAUAA